AUACUUACCUGGCGCGGGGGGAUACCGUGAUCAAGAAGGCGGUGCCUCCAGGACGAGGCCUGUACAUUGCACUCCGUAUGGGCUGACUCCUGCGACUACCCCAAUCGGGGUGGCUCGAGCGCAUAAUUUUUGGUAGUGGGGACAAGCGUUCGCGCUGUCCCUU
rnacentral:snRNA from 1 species